rnacentral:lncRNA from 1 species
ACACUAAAAAAAAUAAAUUAAGAGAGUUUAUUAGUUGAAAGGAGGUGUUUAUUUUUGUGGAGUUUUGAACUCAAUUCUUGUCUAGAGUUGUUGAGUUGUUGAGUUAUUGUGAGUAGGCUGUUGUAUCCUGGAGGGGACAAGUCAAGAGUAUCACUGUUGGACCGGUGACAAAAUUACUGCAGUGGGCUUGAAUCUUAUUAUAAGUCUUCUCCAUGUUUCUUAGGGCUUCGGGCCACAGGUGACAGAAGAGUUUUAAAAUGAGGUGUAGGUGACACAAUUCUUAAUUAGUAGUUGGAGGUGACAAUUACUUUAAUAUGGAUUAAAAAAGUUGGGGAAGUUUGAAAAUAACCCACAAGUUUUUAAAUUUAUACUUUGAUCUCAAUGUUUACCUAAACUAAUAGAAAACAGAGGAAAAAAGGUGUCUUUCUCUCUCUUCUCAUCCAUUGUUGUUUUCCCUCUCUUAGAGAUUUUUGUUGUUCAUUAUUUUUGCUGCUUUAUUCACCAUCUUCUGCUUUGUUAUCAUAAUCUUCUACUUCAUUAUCAUCUUCAUCUUCUUCUUGUCGACCAUUUGUUGUUGUUGUUGUUCUUGGUACAACGCUACUGGUGUGAUCUGAUAAAUUUAUUAAGUCAAAUUUUGUUUACUA